rnacentral:rRNA from 1 species
GUCGAACGGUAACGCGGGGCAACCUGGCGACGAGUGGCGAACGGGUGAGUAAUACAUCGGAACGUGCCCAGUAGUGGGGGAUAGCCCGGCGAAAGCCGGAUUAAUACCGCAUACGACCUACGGGUGAAAGCAGGGGACCGCAAGGCCUUGCGCUAUUGGAGCGGCCGAUGUCAGAUUAGGUUGUUGGUGGGGUAAAAGCCCACCAAGCCGACGAUCUGUAGCUGGUCUGAGAGGACGACCAGCCACACUGGGACUGAGACACGGCCCAGACUCCUACGGGAGGCAGCAGUGGGGAAUUUUGGACAAUGGGCGCAAGCCUGAUCCAGCCAUGCCGCGUGCGGGAAGAAGGCCUUCGGGUUGUAAACCGCUUUUGUCAGGGAAGAAACGCUCUGGGCUAAUACCCUGGGGUAAUGACGGUACCUGAAGAAUAAGCACCGGCUAACUACGUGCCAGCAGCCGCGGUAAUACGUAGGGUGCAAGCGUUAAUCGGAAUUACUGGGCGUAAAGCGUGCGCAGGCGGUCUUGCAAGACAGGUGUGAAAUCCCCGGGCUUAACCUGGGAACUGCAUUUGUGACUGCAAGGCUAGAGUACGGUAGAGGGGGAUGGAAUUCCGCGUGUAGCAGUGAAAUGCGUAGAUAUGCGGAGGAACACCGAUGGCGAAGGCAAUCCCCUGGACCUGUACUGACGCUCAUGCACGAAA